rnacentral:rRNA from 1 species
GACGAACGCUGGCGGCGUGCUUAACACAUGCAAGUCGAGCGGGGAUCAUGGAAGUGCUUGCACAGAAGUGAUUCUAGCGGCGGACGGGUGAGUAACGCGUGAGCAAUCUGUCCUACACAGGGGGGAUAACACUUGGAAACAGGUGCUAAUACCGCAUAAGACCACGAGGCGGCAUCGCUUUGAGGUAAAAGAUUUAUCGGUGUAGGGUGAGCUCGCGUCCCAUUAGCUAGUUGGUGAGGUAACGGCCCACCAAGGCGACGAUGGGUAGCCGACCUGAGAGGGUGAUCGGCCACAUUGGAACUGAGACGCGGUCCAG